UCUUGGCCCGCUGGGGCUUGGGCCCCGUGACCACAGGGGGCUCCGGCUGGGGCCUUCCUCUGCCCCCCGUCAGGGUGGGUCCGAUUUUGAGGAGCCAG